rnacentral:snoRNA from 1 species
UAUUUCAGUGAAACAAGAAAUUACGACUGUUGGUUGGUGUCCAGAAUUGGUCAGUGUGGCUAAAAUUGAGACACAGGUCAUGCUUCCAUCACAGUAAAUAUUUACAGAGGUGACAAUGAGGCCUGUACAUUU